UGGGGAAUUUUGGACAAUGGGGGCAACCCUGAUCCAGCCAUGCCGCGUGCGGGAAGAAGGCCUUCGGGUUGUAAACCGCUUUCGGACGGAAAGAAAUCGUUCGCUCUAACAUAGCGGAUGGAUGACGGUACCGUAAGAAGAAGCACCGGCUAACUACGUGCCAGCAGCCGCGGUAAUACGUAGGGUGCGAGCGUUAAUCGGAAUUACUGGGCGUAAAGCGUGCGCAGGCGGACAUGUAAGUCAGAUGUGA
rnacentral:rRNA from 1 species